GAGGUUGUGGCUCAGUGGUAGAUUGCUCGCCUACCAUUGCAUGAGGCACUGGGUUUGAUCCUCAGCACCACA
rnacentral:tRNA from 1 species